rnacentral:rRNA from 1 species
GAUGAACGCUAGCGGCAGGCUUAAUACAUGCAAGUCGAGGGGCAGCACGAAUAGCAAUAUUUGGUGGCGACCGGCGCACGGGUGCGUAACACGUAUACAACCUACCUAUAACAGGGGGAUAGCCUUUCGAAAGAGAGAUUAAUACCCCGUAAUAAAUUGAGUGGCAUCACUUGAUUUUGAAAGCUACGGCGGUUAUAGAUGGGUAUGCGUCUGAUUAGCUAGUUGGUGAGGUAACGGCUCACCAAGGCGACGAUCAGUAGGGGAUCUGAGAGGACUAACCCCCACACUGGUACUGAGACACGGACCAGACUCCUACGGGAGCAGCAGUAAGGAAUAUUGGUCAAUGGAGGCAACUCUGAACCAGCCAUGCCGCGUGCAGGAUGACGGCCCUAUGGGUUGUAAACUGCUUUUGUACCAGAGAAAACCUACUCACGUGUGAGUAGCUGAUAGUAUGGUAAGAAUAACCAUCGGCUAACUUCGCGCCAGCAG